CGGUGCCCAGAUCUGUCUGCCUCUGGCUGCCACCAGCACAGGACAUGGCUCCUGUCCUUCAGUGGUUAGUCAAAGAGACAACUGAAGACAUAACAGCUCACGCUAGGAGAACCCACCUAGGAGCAGUGGCUUAGCUGAGGCAGAGAAGCAGCAAGAGUCUCCAGCUUGGCCACGCUCAGCAGCCAAAGCUGCUCGCUUCCACCCUCAGUCCAGCCUGCUCGGGAACCUACAAGUCCCUCUGACCCCAAAGCUCCUCUGGGUCCUAGGCAUUUUCAAAUGCUGUGACAAGAUUUUACCUCAGCCUGGCACAUAGUAGGCUCAGAAGAAAUGUAUCUUGGAUGGACGGAUAAGAAGGUAGAUUUGUGGAUGAAGGAAAGAGGACAGAUAUGCAGGGAGAAGGCAAAAGAAUAGGAGGUGGUACAUGUGUAGACCUCCAGACCCCUCCUCGAUGGGCGCAAGGGCUUCUCCUUGAGAAAUCUGGUCAGGACCACAUGUCUCCUGCCAAAAAUGUCCAACUGGUCCCAGAGGAAAUCACUGGACAAGAGCGCAAAGAUGUG
ensembl:lncRNA